UACGUAGGGGGCUAGCGUUGUCCGGAUUUAUUGGGCGUAAAGCGCGUGUAGGCGGCCAGGUAGGUCCGCUGUGAAAACUCGAGGCUCAACCUCGAGACUGGUUGGCGAAACCGUCGUGCUAGAGUCCGGAAGAGGAGAGUGGAAUUCCCGGUGUAGCGGUGAAAUGCGCAGAUAUCGGGAAGAACACCCGUGGCGAAGGCGGCUCUCUGGGACGGUACUGACGCUGAGACGGCGAAAGCGUGGGGAGCGAACAGG
rnacentral:rRNA from 1 species